UAAGGAAUAUUGCCCAAUGGGAGAAAUCCUGAAGCAGCAACGCCGCGUGGAGGAUGAAGGGCUUUCAGCUUGUAAACUCCUGUAAAGAAGGAAAAAAUUCCCAUUAGAUGGGAAAUGAUGGUACUUCUAAAGUAAGCCACGGCUAACUACGUGCCAGCAGCCGCGGUAAUACGUAGGGGGCAAGCGUUGUCCGGAUUUACUGGGUGUAAAGGGUGCUCAGGCGGAUUUGUAAGUCAGAGGUGAAAUCUCACAGCUUAACUGUGAAACUGCCUUUGAUACUGCAAGUCUAGAGUAUGGAAGAGGGUGAUGGAAUGGCUGGUGUAGCAGUGAAAUGCGUAGAUAUCAGAUAGAACACCAAUGGCGAAGGCAGUCACUUGGUCCAUUACUGACGCUGAAGCACGAAAGCUAGGGGCACGAACC
rnacentral:rRNA from 1 species